UAGGGAAUCUUCCACAAUGGACGCAAGUCUGAUGGAGCAACGCCGCGUGAGUGAAGAAGAUCUUCGGAUCGUAAAACUCUGUUGUUAAAGAAGAACACGUAUGAGAGUAACUGUUCAUACGUUGACGGUAUUUAACCAGAAAGUCACGGCUAACUACGUGCCAG
rnacentral:rRNA from 1 species